CACAUUUUCAUAAAACAAAAUCCAAUUUUAGCAUACGUUACUGCUGCAGCAGCUUUAUGCAUAAAGCAAUCUUUCGUUUCUUCACAUACCUUGAGUUUUUCCAAACAUUUACAAUAUAAGGACCUUCUCAAGAUGGCUCCUCUGCCAGUUCUCUAAGGCCAAAACUGCUUUCCCUCACUUCCCAUACACACUUGCUUUAGCCAGCAGCUCCUUGCCAGCCAAUCAAAUUGGAUAACUGAGAGACACGCCUCCUCACUCUGAAGCCUAAUGCAGGCAUGCAGUGUGAAGGACCGCCCCUCUAUCUUCUAAUGCCUCUUUCACACUUGCGUUGUCCGGAUC